rnacentral:rRNA from 1 species
UNGNGGAGAUGCAANUUGGAGUGAAUUCCCGGGGGUUCAACCCNGNACUGCUUUNAAANUGCAUCCCUUGAGUUUCGGAGAGGCAAGCGGAAUUNCUAGUGUAGCGGUGAAAUGCGUAGAUAUUAGGAGGAACACCAGUGGCGAAGGCGGCUUGCUGGACGACAACUGACGCUGAGGCGCGAAAGCGUGGGGAGCAAACAGGAUUAGAUACCCUGGUAGUCCACGCUGUAAACGAUGAAUACUAGGUGUGGGAGGACUGACCCCUUUCCGUGCCGCAGUUAACACAAUAAGUAUUCCACCUGGGGAGUACGACCGCAAGGUUGAAACUCAAAGGAAUUGACGGGGGCCCGCACAAGCAGU